rnacentral:rRNA from 1 species
UACGGAAGGCAGCAGUGGGGAAUAUUGGACAAUGGGCGCAAGCCUGAUCCAGCCAUGCCGCGUGUGUGAAGAAGGCCUUUUGGUUGUAAAGCACUUUAAGCGAGGAGGAGGCUCUCUUAGUUAAUACCUAAGAUGAGUGGACGUUACUCGCAGAAUAAGCACCGGCUAACUCUGUGCCAGCAGCCGCGGUAAUACAGAGGGUGCGAGCGUUAAUCGGAUUUACUGGGCGUAAAGCGUGCGUAGGCGGCUUUUUUAAGUCGGAUGUGAAAUCCCCGAGCUUAACUUGGGAAUUGCAUUCGAUACUGGGAAGCUAGAGUAUGGGAGAGGAUGGUAGAAUUCCAGGUGUAGCGGUGAAAUGCGUAGAGAUCUGGAGGAAUACCGAUGGGCGAAGGGCAGCCAUCUGGCCUAAUACUGACGCUGAGGGUACGAAAGCAUGGGGAGCAAACAGGAUUAGAUAACC